GACGAACGCUGGCGGCGUGCUUAACACAUGCAAGUCGAACGGAAAGGCCCUGAUUUUGUUGGGUGCUCGAGUGGCGAACGGGGGAGUAACACGUGAGUAACCUGCCCUUGACUUUGGGAUAACUUCAGGAAACAGGGGCUAAUACCGGAUAGGAGCUCCUGCAGCAUGGUGGGGGUUGGAAAGAUUCGGCGGUUGGGGAUGGACUGGCGGCUUAUCAGCUUGUUGGGGGGGUAGGGGAUUACCAAGGCUUUGACGGGUAGGCGGCCUGAGAGGGUGACCGGCCACAUUGCUACUGAGAGACGGCCCAGUCUCCUACGUGAGGCAGCAGUGGGGAACAUGGCACAAUGGGCGGAAGCCUGAUGCAGCGACGCCGCGUGCGUGAUGACGUCUUACGGGUUGUAAACCGCUUUCGCAUGUGACGAAGCGUGAGUGACGGUAACGGGUAAAGAAGCAACGGCUAACUACGUG
rnacentral:rRNA from 1 species